rnacentral:misc_RNA from 1 species
CUCCUGUCGGUCCUAACAACAGCUAUGUCACCGACACCAAGGCUGGUGCUCCUCAGUUCGUCGCCUGGGUCAACCAGCUCAACCUGACCUACACUCCUCUCACCGUCACUGGCGAGAAUGAGGGCUACACCUACCAGCCCGCUGGUGAGGUCUACGCCGGCGGCGCUGGCGUUGUCAACCAGACUACCUUCAUUGCUCUGACUGACUCCGACCCUUACCUCACACCCUUCAACCUGAGCAUGAUCAACCCUCACGUUGCCGCUCUCGGUCUGUUCGUUGCUGGUUAAAAGGAUCGCUG